UACAUUAAUGCUAGAGUCCAUCUGGAUGUAAAACAUUGUGAAAACUGCAACAUUAAUGAAUAUGGAACUAAUGAUAUGGUCAGAAUAUAUAUAGCAUAUUUUCCGGAAAACUGUGGAAAUAAUAUAAAUUUUGAAUUGAUGUUUAUCCCUAGACAAAGUGAAUUAAUAUGUCAAAAUUGUAGUAAUAAUUUAACAACAUUCUCCAAACUUACCUUUGUUUCUAAAUAUUUAGUUUUACAACUUCAAAGGUCUCAGAUUAUAAAUGGUCGUUCAGUUAAAAUAAAUACCACCUUCUCAAAUUUUAAUAAUCAAAAUGUAGUUUUAGAUAAUUUCAGAUUUAACGUGAAGUGUGUUAUCAAGCAUCAUGGUCAAGAGAUUACUUCUGGCCAUUAUACAUCUGUGGUCAACAUUAAUAAUCAAUGGUGGAACUGUGAUGAUAAUAAUAUAGGCACCAUUUUAAUCGCGGCCAACCAGGUGAUAGUAACCAGAUUUCAAUUUAAAGGAAACACGUUCAAAGGGCUUGACAAUGACAAGUCCAUACACCAAACUUUGACCAGAAGACUACAGAUUCAGGGAAAAAUUACAUCUUCCUGGAGUUUUGGAUUGCUCGAGAUUUAAUUAUUGGUCAUUAAAAUGCAAGACACAGAAAUGACAUCCCUUACUAAGGAAUAGAUACGUGCAAAGAUGUCAGCAAAGCAGAUAUUUUUUUUUUGUUGCACAAUAUUUGGCCCUUCAAAUUGGAGAACAACCAUGCAUCUUAAACUAGAGGCUCUCCAGUCCCAACUAAUGCUUCUAAGCAAAGUCUACGAGAAAUACAAAUAAUUUCAAUAUUGUGUAAGCUACAUUAACGUUUUAGAUGAUGAUGUCGCUGCAAAUGGGCCAGACCUCAACAACGGGAAAUGAUUGAAGAGAAGUUACUUCUACAUUUGCGUUACAAGAGAGAAGGAAUUAUAAUUGUAUUGGGACAGUUAAAAUGUGGAUUUUACGUAGGGACAAAUUCAAUUAUUUUAAUUAUAGAAAGGCUUUCUUUAUAUCUGACAAUAAAUGUUCCUUAACAAACGAAUAUUUUUAUGGGAUACUAAAAAAUCGCCGAAAAUAGGGUUUCUUUAAUUUUUAUAGUUUUUCUCUUGGCAACUCAUGCAAAUGAUACAUUUAAUUAAAAAAAAUCACAUUUAUAAAUGAUUUGAACGAUACCUUCAUUUAGGGAUUACUUGAAAGUGUUCCAUGUUUUCUCUUCA